rnacentral:rRNA from 1 species
UGAACUUAAGCAUAUCAAUAAGCGGAGGAAAAGAAACUAACAAGGAUUCCCCUAGUAACUGCGAGUGAAGCGGGAAAAGCUCAAAUUUAAAAUCUGAUGGUCUUUGACCGUCCGAGUUGUAAUCUAGAGAAGUGAUACCCGCGCUGGACCAUGUGCAAGUCUCCUGGAAUGGAGCAUCACAGAGGGUGAGAAUCCCGUCUUUGACAUGGACUACCAGGGCUUUGUGGUGAGCUCUCAAAGAGUCGAGUUGUUUGGGAAUGCAGCUCAAAAUGGGUGGUAAAUGCCAUCUAAAGCUAAAUAUUGGCGAGAGACCGAUAGCGAACAAGUACCGUGAGGGAAAGAUGAAAAGAACUUUGGAAAGAGAGUUAAACAGUACGUGAAAUUGCUGAAAGGGAAACGCUUGAAGUCAGUCGCAUCGACUGGAAAUCAACCAUGCUUUUGCUUGGCAUACUUUCCAGCUGGUGGGUCAGCAUCAUUUCUGAUGGCUGGACAAAGGCUUUGGGAAUGUGGCAUCUUAGGAUGUGUUAUAGCCCUUGGUCGCAUACAGCUGUCGGGAUUGAGGAACUCAGCACGCCGCAAGGCCAGGUCUUUUNAAGAUCAUGUUCGUGCUUGGGAUGCUGGCAUAAUGGCUUUAAUCGACCCGUCUUGAAACACGGACCAAGGAGUCUAACAUGCCUGCGAGUGUUUGGGUGGAAAACCCAUGCGCGCAAUGAAAGUGAAAUAGGUUGAGAUCCCUGUCGUGGGGAGCAUCGACGCCUGGACCAGACCUUUUGUGACGGAUCCACGGUAGAGCAUGCAUGUUGGGACCCGAAAGAUGGUGAACUAUGCCUGAAUAGGGUGAAGCCAGAGGAAACUCUGGUGGAGGCUCGUAGCGAUUCUGACGUGCAAAUCGAUCGUCAAAUUUGGGUAUAGGGGCGAAAGACUAAUCGAACCAUCUAGUAGCUGGUUCCUGCCGAAGUUUCCCUC